GGUGCUGCGGACAGGUGCUGGGGGCUCGCAGAGAAGGAGAGUGCAAUCAUAGAGCCUCUGGACUGCAAGAGCUAAGGCUUUUGUCUAUUGACCUUAAGCAAAGCUACCCCAAGGAAAAGGACAGCACCAAGACUGGUGGACCUACUUCAAGAUGAGGUUCACAGAGUCUGGCCCCUACCAAUGGAGAAUGUGCAGCUGGGACCCAAGCAAAGAGUGCAUUUGGUUUCUUCAUGUUACUUCUCAAAAGCGACACCAGCUCUCGGCCUUCCGCAUUUACCUUCAGCCUCUUCCCCCAAAGACCACAUUUCUGUUUGUGUCUUUUGGCCCCUUCUCAGCCAGCCGCCGUGGGCGGGGCUCCCCUCGCGGAUCCGCGGACUGCGACCCAGGCAGUGCUACCGCCAGAGGGAAGGGAGAGGAAGGCGGGUGGGGCACCGUCCUGGACGCGCCCAUCGACAGGAGCACAACUCCCCUCCUCAGCUCUCUUUGCAAGUGGCCAACGUUGCUCUGGGAGAGAAAUUCAACUGGAAACCUAAAGAAAUGUCCUCAGCAAGAAUCUGACUCCCCACUGGCAACAAAGAUAAAAAGCAAAACAGUACCCCCACAGCU